rnacentral:rRNA from 1 species
AUGCAGCGCCUCCUCCCGGCCACCCUCCUCCGCCGCCGCCUCUCCACCGACGCCGCCCCGGACCACAGCCUCGCCUCCUCCGCGGAGCUCGCGCACCGCCUGCUCCGCCGCCACGGCGCCGACCCGCAGAGGCUGGCCUCCGCGCUCUCCGCGUCGGGGCUCGACCCGUCCUCCCCGCGCCUCCUCGACGCCGUCCUCCGCCGCUGCGGCGCCGCCUCCUCCCUCGCGCUCGGCUACUUCCACUGGUGCUCCCCGUCGCUGCCCUCCGCGCCGCUCCCCUCCUCCCUCGCGCUCCUCGCCAAGUGCUUCUCCCGCGCCUCCGCCGCGCCCUGCCCCUCCCUCCUCGCGCCGCUCCCCUCCCACCUCCUCUCGGCCUCCAUCCUAUCGCCCGUCCUCCGCCGCCUCCCGCCGCCGCGCAUCCUCCCCUUCGCGCUCUCGCUCCUCUACUCCCGCCCCGCCCACGACCACCCCUCCCUCUUCCUCUCCCUCCUCGAGUCGCUCUCCAAGGCCGGCCACGUUGCCGCCGCCGAGCGGCUCGUCGAGGAGCUCCAGCCCCGGCUCCCGCUCGAGCUCCGCCACUACACUGCCCUGCUCUACGGCUGGUGCCGCCUGGGCAAGCUCGACGAGGCCAAGCACGUGCUCGCCCGCAUGAAGGCCGCCGGGGUCGCCCCGGACGUCGUCGUCUUCAACACCCUGCUCGCGGGAUUCGUCGCGGACGGCAGGUUCGAGGACGCGUUCGAGCUCACAAGGGAGAUGGAGCGGCGGGAUUGCCCUCCCAAUGCGGUGUCCUACACCACCCUCAUGCAGGGGCUUGGGUCCAAGGGGAGGGUCGAUGAGGUAAUGCGGGUGUUUGUUGAAAUGCGGAGGAAGGGAUGCACGCCGGAUUCUGUCACCUACGGCGCUCUGGUUAGUGCGUUUUGCAAGGCCGGCAGGUUAUCCCAGGGGUAUGAGUUCUUGGACUCCAUGUCGAGGGACGGGCUGCGGGUGGAUCCCGGAGUGUACCUUGGGUUCUUUGUGGCGCAUGAGAAGAAGGAGCAGCUGGAGGAGUGCUUGGAGCUGAUGGAGAGGAUGAGGGAGUGCAGGUGCCCCCCAGACCUCAGUAUCUACAAUGUGGUGAUUCGGUUGUCCUGUAAGCUCGGAGAGACGAAACAAGCCAUGGCAUUGUGGAACGAGAUGGAGAAUAGCGGGCUUAGUCCUGGGGUCGACACCUUCGCAAUCAUGGUGAAUGGGCUUGUUGGCCAGGGAUCGCUGGUCGACGCGUGCAAUUAUUUCAAGGACAUGGUCAGGAGGGGGCUAUUUGUUGCACCACAGUACGGAGUGCUGAAGGACCUCCUCAAUGCGUUAGUCAGAGAUGAGAAACUUGAGCUCGCAAAGGAUGUUUGGGGUUGCAUUGCCAGCAGAGGCUGUGAACUAAAUGUGAGUGCAUGGACAAUCUGGAUCCAUGCACUGUAUGCGAAGAAACAUGUCAAGGAGGCCUGCUCGUAUUGCUUGGACAUGCUCGAGGCUGGGCUGAUGCCGCAGCCAGACACGUUUGCAAAGCUAAUGAAGGGACUGAAAAAACUGUACAACAGACAGAUUGCUGCUGAAAUCACUGAGAAGGUGAGGUUGAUGGCGGAGGAGAGGCAUGUAAGCUUUAAAAUGUAUAAGAGGCGUGGGGUGAAGGAUCUCGAAGAGAAGCCUAAGUCAAAGAGAAGGAAAGGGCAAAAGCGGAGUCGGGGGAGGCAGACUGUUCAGGGUCAGUCUAGAGAACAUGCUGACCUUUCGGAUUCUGUCGAUGAUGAAGAAUUCCCGAGUUGA